rnacentral:lncRNA from 1 species
UUCAAACAUAACAUUAAUAAACAAAAUGAUAACAAUUUGCAUAAUCACAUGUGUAGGAAAAUAUGUUUUAACAAUGCAUAGACGAAUAGAUAAAAGCACAUCAGAAUAAAAAGGUAACACUUUCACCUUAUAAAUAUACUUUUCGACCUUUCACUUUCGCUAUCAUAAAGAUCUUUUAAUCGAAAAAUUCGAAGCAUCAGACUGAGUACAAAUUUAAAACAAAAAGUAAAACAUUAUCAUAACAUCGUAAAAUAGAAGUGAAAUUGUUUCGUAAGCUAUAUCUUCCAGAAUUUGGUUUAUCGACUGAUAAUCGCUAGUUUGUUUAGUUUGUGAGCAUCAAAAACAUAGAUCUGAAGAAACUUCUGCCAUGAUUACAUUUUAAUAAUGUGCGCAGGUCCUGAAAUUGAGUAGUCGCGUGAACACUUACCGACACAUAGGAUACAACCCCUUAAAAAUGAAUGGACAUUAUUUUACAUUCAGAAUUUUUUCAUCUCACCAUAUUUAACCAUUUAAAAACCUAUAACUUGGUCUCAUUACUGUGAAUACGAUAGAAUAUGUGUUCAGUUUGGUAUUAAAACAAUUGUUUUUGCUAUCGUGUAAAGAACAUUUGUGUCUUCCAUUUCCAUUGCCGAUGCAAUAUACAGAUUGUGCAAUCAUAUACAGCAGAUUUUCACUGAGUUUCCUUAUGCAAAUUUAAUCCCAAUUGUUGGUUAAAGGGUAUGCAAAUGAAUUGAUAUAAUUGAAACAUUAUUUUGGCUUCGAAAUAAUUUUUACAGAAAAAAAAUCCUUUUUACUAUCAUUUAUGUUGCCUUAUUUAGUUAUGCAUUAAAAUUGUACUCAUUAAAGUAUAGCAGAAGAAUAUAUAUCAAAAGUCUUGAAACAACUCACUGCUUGAAUUUUGAUUAAUCAUGCUAGUUUACAAGUAACUGCUUAUGUUUACAUCAAUUUUGGAAUUUGUGACAGGUCUCCAGAGUUAUGAUCCCUUAUUUAUCUUAGAACAGAUUAAAAAGGCAAAGAAAAUUACAUGUAAUACAGAUGGCUUAAAUUAUGGUGCAAUCAAACUUUCAGAGUGACAUAUAAUAACAACCAUAUAAUAUAUAAUGCUAUAAAGUUGAUUCUUGUGUCUGAGGUAAUAAGCUAUGGUACGGACAAUUUUCGAAGUGACACACAGUGUCAUUAGUGUGAGAAGAAU